GACGAACGCUGGCGGCGUGCCUAAUACAUGCAAGUUGAGCGCUGAAGGUUGGUACUUGUACCAACUGGAUGAGCAGCGAACGGGUGAGUAACGCGUGGGGAAUCUGCCUUUGAGCGGGGGACCACAUUUGGAAACGAAUGCUAAUACCGCAUAAAAUCUUUAAACACAAUUUUUAAGUUUGAAAGAUGCAAUUGCAUCACUCAAAGAUGAUCCCGCGUUGUAUUAGCUAGUUGGUGAGGUAAAGGCUCACCAAGGCGAUGAUACAUAGCCGACCUGAGAGGGUGAUCGGCCACAUUGGGACUGAGACACGGCCCAAACUCCUACGGGAGGCAGCAGUAGGGAAUCUUCGGCAAUGGACGAAAGUCUGACCGAGCAACGCCGCGUGAGUGAAGAAGGUUUUCGGAUCGUAAAACUCUGUUGGUAGAGAAGAACGUUGGUGAGAGUGGAAAGCUCAUCAAGUGACGGUAACUACCCAGAAAGGGACGGCUAACUACGUG
rnacentral:rRNA from 1 species